ensembl:snRNA U6 U6 spliceosomal RNA
GUGCUCACUUCAGCAGCACAUAAACUGAAAUUGGAAUAAUACUGAGAAGAUGAGCAUGGCUCCUGUGCAAGGAUGACAUGCAAAUUUGUGAAGUGUUCCAUAUUUCU